CAUUAACAUAACAUCAAU
rnacentral:miRNA from 1 species